GACGAACACUGGCGGCGUGCCUAAUACAUGCAAGUCGACCUUAGUGGCGAACGGGUGAGUAACACGUGGGUAACCUGCCCAUCAGACGGGGAUAAACCUUGGAAACAGGUGCUAAUUCCCUAUACUGAAGUAUGUACCAGCGGUGCAUUAGCUAGUUGGUGAGGUAACGGCUCAACAAGGCCACGAUGCAUAGCCGACCUGAGAGGGUGAUCGGCCACAGUGGGACUGAGACACGGCCCAAACUCCUACGGGAGGCAGCAGUGGGGAAUCUUCGGCAAUGGACGAAAGUCUGACCGAGCCACGCCGCGUGAAUGAAGAAGGUUUUAGGAUCGUAAAGCUCUGUUGUUAGAGAAGCGGUAUCUAACCAGAAAGCCACGGCUAACUACGUGCCAGCAGCCGCGGUAAUAC
rnacentral:rRNA from 1 species